GACGUGGCGGCGCGGUCGCUGGAGGUUGAAGAAGCUCGAUCGCUUCCUCCAGUACGCCGAGAGGUAACCCCCUCGUUCGCAUCUCUCCCGGCCUGUGAAUGAUUAGUCCAACCAGAUCGGAGUAGAUUCGAGGAGAAACGAUCUCUUCUCUAGCAGACGCAACUUUUUUUCGGUGCAUACUAGAUAUGUAAACAAGAAUUUCUUUCUGAUUUGUUAGACAAAGAUCAUGCUAUUUCAGUAUUUCAUGGCUUACAUCCACUGGAUUUCUGAAUAAGAAUGAUGUUUCUUUUUGUGUUGGGCAUGCAUGUGCUGUUGCAAGUGAUUGUAAUUAUUAUUUUUGUAAUGCUACCGACCGCUGCAGGCGCCAAAACGAAGUUCUCAUUUCUCUCAACGUAUUCCACAAGGAUUCAUCAGCCUUAUGGUAAACCUGGCUGGUAUCGGAUUAUAUGCCAUGCUGUCGCUCCGCUUGUGUUGGUGGCUGUAAAGAAAUUGCCGUAUGUUAGCAAAUGUACUGGUAUGCACUUCGCAGCCUCUUGACUUGCUUCCAGAGGAAAGCACAGCUUUGGUGGAGAUUUGUUUUGUUAAGAACAACCUGCUUCUCAUUUUGCAUUGAUUCUCCGAAUGAAGCCUGCUCAUGGUUUUGCAGAUUGUGGAUACUUUCUUCUGUGACAAUUCCUACGGAGUAGUGGGGGUGAAGCGACGGUGUCAGGAGGCCCCUGAACCAAGAGUUUAUUUAUAGCUGAAGAGAAGUACUCCAUGACUGGGCGAGGGGACAAUACCAUGAUGAGUUCAGAACAUGCAAUUUGCAAGCAGAUCAAGGCAACGUGAUGGGGAUCAGAUAUUGAUAUGGCGCCGAUUGUUUGGUCCAUGCUGGGUGCAUCACAAUGCACUACCAGUGCCACAUUGGUGGAUUAGUAGCAUGAGGAUCCCAUGCAAACUGGGUUCAACAUGUGAGGACCAGUUCUGUUGCUAUCGUGCAAUGAGAUGUUGGCAGGCACGUCUUCUG
rnacentral:lncRNA from 1 species